CGGAGAGUAGUGUAGUGGCUGCACGAGUCCUUUGGGAGGAUUUAGUCCGGGUUCGAUUCCCGGCUCUCCGA
rnacentral:tRNA from 1 species